rnacentral:rRNA from 1 species
UACGUAGGUGGCAAGCGUUGUCCGGAUUUAUUGGGCGUAAAGCGAGCGCAGGCGGUUCUUUAAGUCUGAUGUGAAAGCCCCCGGCUCAACCGGGGAGGGUCAUUGGAAACUGGAGAACUUGAGUGCAGAAGAGGAGAGUGGAAUUCCACGUGUAGCGGUGAAAUGCGUAGAUAUGUGGAGGAACACCAGUGGCGAAAGCGGCUCUCUGGACUGUAACUGACACUGAGGCUCGAAAGCGUGGGUAGCAAACAGG